GAUAACAGGCUGAUCUUUCCGAGAGCUCACACCAACAGAAAAGUUUGGCACUAUAAUGAUGGCUCUUCGCCACCUAGAGCUUUAGUAUGUUCCAAGAGUUGGGCUAUUCGCCUAUUAAAGCGACAGGAGCUGUGAAGAGAGGUGACC
rnacentral:ncRNA from 1 species